rnacentral:misc_RNA from 1 species
UCCGGUUUGUCACCGGCAGUCUCCUUAGAGUUCUCGGCCGAACCGCUAGCAACUAAGGACAAGGGUUGCGCUCGUUACGGGACUUAACCCAACAUCUCACGACACGAGCUGACGACAGCCAUGCAGCACCUGUCACCCGGUUCCCGAAGGCACCCCCGCAUCUCUGCAGGGUUCCGGGGAUGUCAAGGCCUGGUAAGGUUCUUCGCGUUGCAUCGAAUUAAACCACAUGCUCCACCGCUUGUGCGGGCCCCCGUCAAUUCAUUUGAGUUUUAACCUUGCGGCCGUACUCCCCAGGCGGUCUACUUAUCGCGUUAACUGCGCCACUAAGAAGUCAAGCUCCCCAACGGCUAGUAGACAUCGUUUACGGCGUGGACUAC